CGGCUGCUGCUCGGCGGGCCCGGCGAGCUGACCGGACGGGUCGGCGACGUGCGGCGGAGGGAGGCGGCGGCGAUCGUCCCGCUGGUGGCGGU
rnacentral:tRNA from 1 species